UAGUUACUAUAGCAAAGAGGAUACACCUGUUCCCAUUCCGAACACAGAAGUUAAGCUCUUUAGCGCCGAUGGUACUUGGUGGGAAGCUGCCUGGGAGAGUA
rnacentral:rRNA from 1 species